CCUACGGGCGGCAGCAGUGGGGAAUAUUGCACAAUGGGCGCAAGCCUGAUGCAGCCAUGCCGCGUGUGUGAAGAAGGCCUUCGGGUUGUAAAGCACUUUCAGCGGGGAGGAAGGCGGUGAGGUUAAUAACCUCAUCGAUUGACGUUACCCGCAGAAGAAGCACCGGCUAACUCCGUGCCAGUAGCCGCGGUAAUACGGAGGGUGCAAGCGUUAAUCGGAAUUACUGGGCGUAAAGCGCACGCAGGCGGUCUGUCAAGUCGGAUGUGAAAUCCCCGGGCUCAACCUGGGAACUGCAUUCGAAACUGGCAGGCUAGAGUCUUGUAGAGGGGGGUAGAAUUCCAGGUGUAGCGGUGAAAUGCGUAGAGAUCUGGAGGAAUACCGGUGGCGAAGGCGGCCCCCUGGACAAAGACUGACGCUCAGGUGCGAAAGCGUGGGGAGCAAACAGGAUUAGAUACCCCAGUAGUC
rnacentral:rRNA from 1 species